AUUGAACGCUGGCGGCAUGCUUUACACAUGCAAGUCGAACGGCAGCGCGGGGCAACCUGGCGGCGAGUGGCGAACGGGUGAGUAAUAUAUCGGAACGUACCCAGAAGUGGGGGAUAUCGUAGCGAAAGUUACGCUAAUAUCGCAUACGAUCUACGGAUGAAAGUGGGGGACCUUCGGGCCUCAUGCUUGUGGAGCGGCCGAUAUCUGAUUAGCUAGUUGGUGAGGUAAAGGCUCACCAAGGCGACGAUCAGUAGCUGGUCUGAGAGGACGACCAGCCACACUGGGACUGGGACACGGCCCAGACUCCUACGGGAGGCAGCAGUGGGGAAUUUUGGACAAUGGGCGCAAGCCUGAUCCAGCAAUGCCGCGUGAGUGAAGAAGGCCUUCGGGUUGUAAAGCUCUUUUGUCAGGGAAGAAACGGCUUGGGCUAAUAUCCUGGGCUAAUGACGGUACCUGAAGAAUAAGCACCGGCUAACUACGUGCCAGCAGCCGCCGUAA
rnacentral:rRNA from 1 species